rnacentral:rRNA from 1 species
GCGGAAUGCUUUACACAUGCAAGUCGAACGGCAGCACGGACUUCGGUCUGGUGGCGAGUGGCGAACGGGUGAGUAACAUAUCGGAACGUAUCCAAUAAUGGGGGAUAACAUAUCGAAAGAUGUGCUAAUACCGCAUACGCCCUGAGGGGGAAAGCUAGGGACCGCAAGGCCUGGCGUUAAUGGAGCGGCCGAUAUCUGAUUAGCUAGUUGGUGAGGUAAGAGCUCACCAAGGCCACGAUCAGUAGCUGAUCUGAGAGGAUGAUCAGCCACAUUGGGACUGAGACACGGCCCAAACUCCUACGGGAGGCAGCAGUGGGGAAUAUUGGACAAUGGGCGCAAGCCUGAUCCAGCCAUGCCGCGUGAGUGAUGAAGGCCUUCGGGUUGUAAAGCUCUUUUGUCCGGGAAGAUAAUGACUGUACCGGAAGAAUAAGCCCCGGCAAACUUCGUGCCAGCCGCCGCCGUAA